GGGAGCUUGGCUCUUGAGACAGGAGUCUUGCCGAUGCCCCCAGCCAAAUAAACCCCUUCCUUCUUUAACUGGGUGUCUGAGGAGUUUUGUCUGUGGCUCGUCCUGCUACAUUUCUUGGUUCCCUGACUGGGAAGUGAGGUGAUUGGUGGAUGGUUGAGGCAGCUCCUUAGGCGGCUUAAGCCUGCCCUGUGGAACAUGCCUGCUGGGGACUCCGACCAGCCUGAGAGACGCAGAUCCUGAGAGCGCUCCCGGGUACGCAUUUGCCCCGGUUGGACGCCUCGCCAGAGCAGUGUGUGGCAGGCUACCGUGGAGGAUCAACACAGUGGCUGAACACCAUGAAGGAGCAGGCACUUGGAGUCUGGACAUCUAAAACUUGGUGCGGUGUUUCUGCCUGAAAGCAGUGCUUGAUACCAGCACGAACUCUGCAUCUUCAGAAGUCCCACUGGGUGUUCUGGGUAAGUUCUCCAGAAUUAGGACCUCCCACUCCUUGGUUGAAAUAUAGACUUUAUUUGGCUGUUUUUCAAACUGUCUCUUUUCUUUAAGAGAGGGCUUUGGUCUCUGUCUUUGGACACAAGCUCCAAGUAAAGAGCUCUGUAGAAAAUGUCUUUUUGCUGCUGUGUCUCACAGGAGAGGUUCAGAUCAAGGUUCUUCCACCUCUGCCUCAGGACUGGAGGCUUAGGUCAAGGUUUUUCUGCCUCUGUCUCACAGCAGAGGUUCAGGUCAAAGGAUUGGCAGUUAGACACGGAUGGUUUUGUUUUAUAUGGCCUACUUUUAAGAUUAAAACUGUUUCUUCUGCUUAAAAAUUCAGACCUAUCCUUUUAUUUGAGACCAAUUCCUGUUAGUUUCUAACCGAAAAGUGUUCCCUCUUUUUGCUCUUCCAAACAGGUACACUAUGAAAGUCUGGUCCUCAUACACUGAGCACACUAUUGCUCCCUGGAAGUUAGAGACAGUCUGAGAUAAGUUACACUUUCACCCUAAAUACAUUCCCAGGCUUGACACUUUUGAAAAGUUCCUAAAUUAUGGGAAGUCAAGCAUCAAAAUUAGAGUAUUCCUUUUAGAAACACCAGCUGGAUUUAUGUAUAACACUCGUGGGGUAUCCUCUUGUAAAGGCCUAGGAAAGUGGACCCACCUAACCUGGUGAUACAGAAGGCAGAAAUUAUUUAGGCAGAUAGUGAGGGCAACAGAGUUCUUGGCAGAGCUUCCCUUCUAACAAAAAGCAGCCCCCCAAAUCAUUGCUUUUCUAACAAAGAGCAGCCUGAAAAAUAGAGCUGCAAACAUAGAUAAUCAAGCAGGAAGCUUGCACGGGCGAAUGCUGGCAGAGGCACCAAUAGAAAAGGGCCACCUGGGGGCCAGGCAUGUCCAACACGGAGGCUCCAUCUUCCCUUUUCUUGUUACCAUGUGUAGAGUAAAGAAACGGGCAACAUGGCACAGCUCAGGCAGAAGACCCGCCUGCAUAAUAAAAGAUUAUGGUAGGGGUGGCCAGAAAUUCAUACCCUAUGCACACGGCACAUCUAGUCCCAACCAGUUUUUCAUGACCUAUGCAAGUGGCACACCUGGUCCAACCAAUGUUUCACACCCUGUGUAAAUCAAACACUGCCUCCUCACCAGGCAUCUAUAAAACCCCUUGCAUUUCACCAUGGAUCCGGCAACCCAUUUUUCUGGACCCCUGUCUGCAACAGAGAGCUCUUCUCUUUCUUUUGCCUAUUAAACUUCCACUCUCAACCUGACACUUUAUGCAUCUGCAUCCUAGAUUUCUGUGUCUGUGAGACAACAGAUCUUGGGUGUUACUCCACAAUGAGGCCAUUUCACUGGGACGAUCAUAAACAGCAGUAACCAAAAUAAGAAUCCUUUGCUAUGUUGAAAAUAAUUCUUUGUGCACACAAUUGGAAAAAAAAGCUGGUUUUUGCACCACACAAACUGAAUCAGAGUAGUUUGUUUGUCUUGAAUUAAAUCUGGUAAUAAGAAAUUUAAAAAGAUUCUUUCUUAGAGCUCUAUGGUCAGAAGUCAGCUUAACUAAAAGCUGACAUUUAGGCUAUAAUUUUAAAAAUAAGAAUAAAAGGGGCUUUCUGCAUUUUCUUCUUUUGGAUCCUGUUUUGGGGGAUUUUUUUCCGUUGACUGAAACUCUUUUUAAAUGUGUUUGAUCCCUCUGGUUACUUCCUAUCUUGUUGGCAUAAUUUUUGCUGAGAAAAAUGUAAAACAUCAUUUGCCUUUUAGAAAGCUUAACAUGCCCCCAAAUUGGCUCUUAUAAGACUUAUUCUUUUGUUUCUUUUCACUUCUGAUCCUUUUUUCACUAUUUUUGAUACCACAAAUAAUAGUAGUAAUAAUAAUAAUAAAAUAAUAUAGUAUAUCUCUAGAGGAGAUAUAUUGUAUUAUUGUCUUUCAAAAUUGUAUGAUAUUCCUAAAAUUAUGAUGUGUUAACAUAUGUUGUCAGACACAAAUAUGGUUAUUAUGUUACACUGUCAUUCGCCACAGAAUUUCCUUGUCAAUUGUGUUUUUAACCAUGGUUAGUCUAAGUCUUUUGUCAUUCAUAGAAAAUUAUUGUUUUACUUGGAUUCUUCUCAGAAAGUGGUUUACAAUUGACAACAGUCCAAAAUUUGCUUUUUUUUUUUUUAAGACAAUUCAUGAGAAUGAACCCUGACAAGUACUCUUGAAUACAGGUUUCUAAUAACUUUGGAGAUUGUAUUAUUAGACUAAGUAAAGACUUUAAGAACUCCCAUAAACUGAUGUGUUCAUGAAGAUUUCUAACUCAACAUCAAGCAGAAUGAGAAUUUAUUAUGUGGGACUGAACUGAUAGAAAAAGAAGACUGAAAUGCUUUUUAGGACUUUGUGUUUAAAACAUUGCUGAUUCUUUUUAUAUUUGUUUUGCAGAGUAAAUGAAACUUUUUUGAGCUGUUUAUAGCUUACAGAAUUGGGUGAAAUAUAACAUUUGUGAACAACAUUCUCUAUACCUUAUUUCUCCAAAAUUUAAAAUCCAUUUAUUAAUAAUCUUAUUUUAUGGUAACCAUAAAAUAAGAUACACUGAUUAUUAUACUAAGGCUAUGACCAAAAUGGCAUAUUUUUGGAUAUUAUCAGACUGCUUUAAAAAAUUAAGAUUGACUUUAUAGAGUCAAUAAAAAGUCCUCAGAGAGAUUGACCUGGUACUUUGUCUACAUAGUUCCUUUCAAAAAUUCUGACCUUGCAGUAAGUAAAGAAUGUCAAUAUCCAACAGGCCCAGGAAACUCAAGAUAUCUUGGGGACCUUGAGAAGGGAGAAGUUUAUUCAAUUUGUACAGGUAUUACAGGCACAUUCUAAUUGUGAAUCUUUGACUUGGCUUCCUAGCCUGGAGACUUAUAAAAGCCUAAUCUGAAAUUCCUUAAGAAAGUUUCAGCAAAGCCAAUUUAAAAGAGCCUAUAUGGUAAUCGCUAUUCUUGUUGUGUUUUUUGAAAAUAAUCAGGCUCAGUACAACACUAAAACUUAUUUUGGAAGUAAAUUGGUCCUACUAAGAUUUGUCUUAGGUGUAAAUGGGAAACUGGAGAGAGAAAAAUUAUGGUUCAGAGAAAAAUUAUAGCAUACCUGUUAUUAGAUUCCAGCCCUGACCACUGUUUUUGAGUUUUUGUCAUUUUCCAAUAAUUUGGACUGAAUCCCCAAUGAAACAGGUUUUUUACUAUGUAUUUAUCAGUUUUUCUUCUUCUGAGAAAACCAAAAGCAUGAAAUUCUGAAGACUGGAGAUGACUUAACAAGAAAUGACAGUUAUAGAAAUCAAUGACUUGACUGAGGAUUAUCCAAGAAUGAGCCUUCCCAGUGCCAAGGGAUGAAGGCCUAAGAGAUUGAUCAUCACUGCUUCCAUGGGAAGAUUUUUUAUAAACAGGAGAAAUGAGGAAAGGAAAAUAGCUCCGAGCAGUCUGAAGUCUGCAAGGUGUGCAGGGCCAGAGAGACAUGAGUAUGUAUAUGAUGCCACACUAUGCCUAGGAAAAGUUUAGUCCUUGUGCCCCUGACUAGCUGCCUCGCCCAUUAUCUUCAUGUUCCUAGAAUUUGUAACACAAAGAACAAUGUACAACCUAUAAAUAGCUUAUGUUAUUUUAAUGUAAAUUUUUGGUAAACAACUCAGGAACUGCCUCUUCUUUCCCUUUACUUCCCUAAUUGUUUACAAGCAACACUUAUUACGUUGCUGAUUUGAGUGUAUAUUCAGGAUAAAUAGAAUCUAUGCUCCUGGGUUGCAGCCCUCAAGCUUGGUCCAAAUAAACUCUCUACUUACA